rnacentral:tRNA from 1 species
UUAACUGAAACCAAAAAGAGGUAUAUUAUUGUUAAUAAUAAAAUUGAAUUAAUUUUCCGGUUAAG